AGUGAACGCUGGCGGUAGGCCUAACACAUGCAAGUCGAACGGCAGCACAGUAAGAGCUUGCUCUUACGGGUGGCGAGUGGCGGACGGGUGAGGAAUACAUCGGAAUCUACUUUUUCGUGGGGGAUAACGUAGGGAAACUUACGCUAAUACCGCAUACGACCUACGGGUGAAAGCAGGGGAUCUUCGGACCUUGCGCGAUUGAAUGAGCCGAUGUCGGAUUAGCUAGUUGGCGGGGUAAAGGCCCACCAAGGCGACGAUCCGUAGCUGGUCUGAGAGGAUGAUCAGCCACACUGGAACUGAGGCACGGUCCAGACUCCUACGGGAGGCAGCAGUGGGGAAUAUUGGACAAUGGGCGCAAGCCUGAUCCAGCCAUACCGCGUGGGUGAAGAAGGCCUUCGGGUUGUAAAGCCCUUUUGUUGGGAAAGAAAGGCAGCAGGUUAAUACCCCGCUGUUCUGACGGUACCCAAAGAAUAAGCACCGGCUAACUUCGUG
rnacentral:rRNA from 1 species